CGUUUAAAGCUUUAGCCAAUGGUGGCCGGGCUGUUCUCCUGUUAAAAGCUUUAGCCAAUGGUGGCCGGGCUGUUCUCCUGUUAAAAGCUUUAGCCAAUGGUGGCCGGGCUGUUCUCCUGUUUAAAGCUUUAGCCAAUGGUGGCCGGGCUGUUCUCCUGUUUAAAGCUUUAACCAAUGGUGGCCGGGCUGUUCUCCUGUUAAAAGCUUCAGCCAAUGGUGGCCGGGCUGUUCUCGUGAUUAAUGCUUAAGCCAAUGGUGGCAGGUCUAGAGCACCAGCACUCACCAAUCUAGUUGCUGUUUCUAGGACUUGAGUAGGCACCCCCUGCUCUCAGCAGCAGCCUUCCUCGUUGUAGGGCGACAGCCAGACAUCCCAUCUCCCUGGAGAUAACGGCUGGUAUGUUGCUGUCUCCUUCCGUCUGGCUGUCGCAGGAGCUGAAAUGGUUUUCUGUUGAAACACAAAUAUACAGCUGAAAGAAAUAAUCUAUUGGCCCAAUUCCAUGCUUCAAAAUGCACCAAGUGUAAUAUAAAUGUUGUAUUAAUUUGUGAAAGUACAGAGUAAGUCAAAAACAGUUUGAUUUACCCUUUACCUUUAAUAAACGUACAGUAAUGUGAAGGGACUGUAGAUGAUCAUCACAUAACAAACUGCUCCUCCACAGCCACUUUCUCAAUACCAUUUGAUGUUCAUUAAUUAACUUCAGCUCCACACACAGGUCUCCCUCCAUUCAGGUGUUACUCAGAGACAGACAGGUCUCCCUCCAUUCAGGUGUUACUCAGAGACAGACAGGGCUCCCUCCAUCCAGGUGUUACUCAGAGACAGACAGGUCUCCCUCCAUUCAGGUGUUACUCAGAGACAGACAGGUCUCCCUCCAUUCAGGUGUUACUCAGAGACAGACAGGUCUCCCUCCAUUCAGGUGUUACUCAGAGACAGACAGGUCUCCCUCCAUUCAGGUGUUACUCAGAGACAGACAGGUCUCCCUCCAUUCAGGUGUUACUCAGAGACAGACAGGUCUCCCUCCAUUCAGGUGUUACUCAGAGACAGACACUACUUCACAGCAGGACUGACCUGUCCUCUUCACAGCAGACCUCACAUGUCCUCUUCACAGCAGAC
ensembl:lncRNA